AUACGGAAGGUCCGGGCGUUAUCCGGAUUUAUUGGGUUUAAAGGGAGCGCAGGCGGAGAUGCAAGCGUGACGUCAAAUUUCGGGGCUCAACCCCGUCUCGCGUCGCGAACUGCGUCCCUUGGUUGCGGGAAGGGGAGGCGGAACUCGUGGUGUAGCGGUGAAAUGCAUAGAUAUCACGAAGAACUCCGAUCGCGAAGGCAGCCUUCCGGCCCGUCAACGACGCUCAUGCUCGAAGGUGCGGGUAUCAAACAGGAUUAGAUACCCUGGUAGUCCGCACGGUAAACGAUGGACACCCGCGGUUUGGCCUAUAUGGCUGAGCCGCCAAGCGAAAGCGUUAAGUGUCCCACCCGGGGAGUACGCCGGCAACGGUGAAACUUAAAGGAAUUGACGGGG
rnacentral:rRNA from 1 species